GUAAUGUCUGGGAAACUGCCUGAUGGAGGGGGAUAACUACUGGAAACGGUGGCUAAUACCGCAUAACGUCGCAAGACCAAAGAGGGGGACCUUCGGGCCUCUUGCCAUCAGAUGUGCCCAGAUGGGAUUAGCUAGUUGGUGAGGUAACGGCUCACCAAGGCGACGAUCCCUAGCUGGUCUGAGAGGAUGACCAGCCACACUGGAACUGAGACACGGUCCAGACUCCUACGGGAGGCAGCAGUGGGGAAUAUUGCACAAUGGGCGCAAGCCUGAUGCAGCCAUGCCGCGUGUAUGAAGAAGGCCUUCGGGUUGUAAAGUACUUUCAGCGGGGAGGAAGGUGUUGUGGUUAAUAACCGCAGCAAUUGACGUUACCCGCAGAAGAAGCACCGGCUAACUCCGUGCCAGCAGCCGCGGUAAUACGGAGGGUGCAAGCGUUAAUCGGAAUUACUGGGCGUAAAGCGCACGCAGGCGGUCUGUCAAGUCGGAUGUGAAAUCCCCGGGCUCAACCUGGGAACUGCAUUCGAAACUGGCAGGCUUGAGUCUUGUAGAGGGGGGUAGAAUUCCAGGUGUAGCGGUGAAAUGCGUAGA
rnacentral:rRNA from 1 species